rnacentral:lncRNA from 1 species
UUCAAAUCAAAUAAAAUCUCUUAUACAUGGCAGGUUUAAGGUCCCUCCUUGUUGCUCUCCUCGUUUUUGCUAUGAUUUUUUUUCCCAUGCUGCCAUGCGAGGCUGCUCGACUACCUCAUCCUGGUGAAUAUCCGUCACAACUAAUAUACAUACAUCUGUUAUAUAUAUAUAUAUAUAUAUAUAUAUAUUCAUAUUCAACUUGUUUUGGUGACAUAUAUAUAACUCUUUUUUUUUUUUUUUUAUAUUGUUGAUAGUUAAUUUUAUUAAUAUAUAUAAACUGUUUUGGCGACAUAUAAAAACUUCUUUUUUGAUAUUGUUGAUGGCUAAUUAUAUAUAUGUGUGUGUGUGUAUGCGUGUGUAUGUGCAGGUCUUCUUCAGAACGUAGGGCCAAAGCAACCAAUCUGCCCAGCUUGCCUGUGUUGUUCUCCUCCACCGCCAGGGUCCUGUUGCAAGUGUUGCGCUUCUAGAGGAGAAACCCAGUCCAUAAAUGCCUCUCCAUGAAAACCCCACCAACCACAUUAUAUUUAUAUUGGAAUAUGUAUGUACCAAUUAAAACAAUUGAUGCAUUAAUUGCUCAGCAUGAAUUCCUCUGUAAGCGUAACAGUGUCUCAUUUAAAUGUAAUAAUAUAGAAUUUAUGAAUUUUAAU